ACGAACGCUGGCGGCGUGCUUAACACCUGCAAGUCGAACGGAAAGGCCUGCUUUCCCUUGUGGAUUGCGGGUGCUCGAGUGGCGAACGGGUGAGUAACACGUGAGUGAUCUGCCCCCAACUUGGGUAUAAGCCUGGGAAACUGGGUCUAAUUCCCGAUAGGACUGCAGGGUGGUGCCUGUGGUGGAAAACGAUUUUCUAGUGGUUGGGGAUGAGCUCGCGGCCUAUCAGCUUGUUGGUGGGGUAAUGGCCUACCAAGGCGGCGACGGGUAGCCGGCCUGAGAGGGUGGACGGCCACAUUGGGACUGAGAUACGGCCCAGACUCCUACGGGAGGCAGCAGUGGGGAAUAUUGCACAAGGGGCGGAAGCCUGAUGCAGCGACGCCGCGUGGGGGAUGACGGCCUUCGGGUGGUAAACUCCUUUCGACCGCGAGGAAGCCACCUGGUUGGAAGGGUGGUGACGGUAGUGGUAGAAGAAGCACCGGCUAACUACGUG
rnacentral:rRNA from 1 species